UUUUUCGUGUUAAGUAUGUCCCAUGAAAUAUUUGGGACAUACUUAUACUAAAA
rfam:Ailuropoda melanoleuca scaffold610_28, whole genome shotgun sequence.